rnacentral:lncRNA from 1 species
UUUAGAAUUUUUGAAAAAGAUGUUGUUUUUUUCAUUUGUAUUUGCAAAAGCAGUUUAACAAUAUUUGCUUAAUUGUAAAAGUUUUUAUCAAUAAAUGUUGAAUUGAACAGAAAAUCCUACUAAAUGUAAAAAUUAUGUUUUAUUCAAAUUAUUUGUCUCUUAUAUACAGGGAAAAUUAAAAAAGAACUAAUUCUUAAAGAAAUUGUGGCUCAAUAUUAGAAAAGAUAGAUUAAUGUGCCUUGUUAUAAGUGUAGUGUGUUUCCUUACAACUGAAAUUGAUGUUAAAUAUAUUUGAUGUAAUGUGCCUUGAAGCAGAUAUGAUUUAGGUUAUCAUUAGGUACAAUUAUUGACGAUAUUUCAAGGUUCCAUACAUGUACUUGAGAAAUUAAUGUUCAAAAGACCUGGGUACAUUUAAAGGUGCUGAUUCAGUGUGUUGUGAACAUGCAAUGUCAUUUGUGUACAUUACCCAUAGUUUCAUGAGGUUGCUAUUGUGAUGGGGUCUUCCCUAUCUUACAUGUGUAAGAGUCUUCUGAAGAUGAAAAGUGUCUCUGGUGUAACAAAUAAUUAGCAUUGUAUUUUUAAAUGAAUUUUUACUCAUCUUCUGAAAUUAUAAGAUAUAUACUUCUUUUCUUACAAUUUUUAAUCAUUUUGAAUAUGAAUAGGUGAGAGAGAAAAAUGAACACUUGCAAGAGUGCAAACCUUGAAAUUUGAUCAACAUACCAGGGAAUAUUUUGUUUUUCUGACUUACUCUAUUUAUGUCUGCAACACGAUUUUAUUUUUGAGUACAACGAUUUCCUGUUUAUUUUUAUUGUUAUUGAAAUGAAAGAGGUUUUUGUUUUAUGUAAAAAAAAAUUAAUGACCUUGACUGGCUAUAAAGCCCUCACAGGGUCAGUCAAUCAUAUCUGCCUAUUGAAGUUUUUUUUCCUUUAUGCCUAUUGACUUUAAAACAUUUCAAUUCUUUAAUCUAAUUAAGAAUCAUGUGCACCUGUUUGAUUAGCAUACACCUGUACUUGUUAAAUCAUAUUUGUUAUGUUCAUAGCAUAGACACUGAAUAUAUGUGACCUACAUUUUGCAUACAAACUACAUUUGCUCAAAUAUACAUUAUGUUAUUCAUCACAGUACAUGGACAGGGGAAGACAACUCUCUACUAUUUCUGUAUUACAUUUGUUGCUUGUCUUAAGUCUAAUUCAUUUUUCCUCAAGGUUUGACUCUUCAUUUAUCAGGUUUAAACUUUUAACUUGAUUUUUGUCCCAUAAAGAAAUAUAUACAGUUGUUUAGAUUGAAAACUUUCUCUUCAUUUUUGAUAAAGCUGUCUAUCAUGUCUAUAGCAAAUUUCCAUUUGAAUAAUCAAUAAACAUUUUUUUCUGUGAUAACCAUUUAUUUCAGUUAUUCAUAUUUUCGAUAUUUUAAUUAGAUAACAAUAUUAUUGCAGAAAUAUCAUCAUAUUUCUUCAUACUAUAAAAUGUUUUUUUUAUCCCAAAUAAUUUAAUGGAAAGUAAACUUUUGCUUUGUUAUUAAAAACAUAUAGCCUUCAGUAGAAAUGUGUACCUAUAAAUGAAAACUGAACCAAACAAUUUAUAAAUGAUUUACCCCAAUGUGAUACUCUGGUGAUGUUGGAUGGAGAUAUAUGAUUUUAUAGCUUAUUUUAUAUUAAAAUCGUUUCAAACUGAGAAAUCCACAUCACUACCUCUAUAUAUAUAUAUCCCCUGUCCAUCAAUUACCAUUAUAUAUCAGAAAAAUUGUUGUUUAUGUAUA